AAUGAACGUUGGCGGCGUGGAUUAGGCAUGCAAGUCGAGCGAGAACCCCGCAAGGGGGGACAGCGGCGAAAGGGACAGUAAUGUGUAGAUUAACUGCCCUCAGGUCCGGGAUAGCUGCGGGAAACUGCAGGUAAUACCGGAUAACAUCUCCGGAUCAAAGGUGUGAUUCCGCCUGAGGAUGAGUCUGCAUCCUAUUAGCUAGUUGGUGGGGUAAUGGCCUACCAAGGCAUUGAUGGGUAGCAGGUGUAAGAGCACGACCUGCGUCAUUGGGACUGAGACACUGCCCAGACAACUACGGGUGGCUGCAGUCGAGAAUCGUCGGCAAUGGGCGCAAGCCUGACCGAGCGACGCCGCGUGUGGGAUGAAGGCCUUCGGGUUGUAAACCACUGUCAGAGGGGAUGAAAUGCAGGUGGGUUCUCCCAUCUGUUUGACAUAGCCUCAGAGGAAGGACGGGCUAAGUUCGUG
rnacentral:rRNA from 1 species